rnacentral:lncRNA from 1 species
ACCGCGGCGCUGGGGGUUCCUCCCGGCGAGACUGGCGGGGCUGCGGCGGCUAGGAGAGUGGUGCGUAGGUGUUUCUGGGGGGGUCGUGGGCAGGAUGCAGGGCUCAGUAAAGUUUAGUGUCAGAACUUUGUUUGCGCUACCCCUAAUAUUUCCGUAGAGUAAUAGUUGUAUUAACUACUUUUCUUUUUUCUUCUGUCCUCCAUUUGUUUUGGGGGAGGGUGCGGAGGAAUAAGCCUGUGUCUAAGAUUGGCGCCUCUCUUCUCUAGCUGUUAACUCUGAGCAUUCCCUUUUGUAUAGGGUAUCGUGUUAAUUUUUACAUGCACCCAGAGCAGUCUGCCUUUUGGAAGAUACAUGGGAGACCCUACCGAAAGUAAUUACUUUUUUUUUACAGAGUGAAUAAAUUUGCGUGUCAUAAAGGCUGUAUAAUUGCUUUCGUGUCUAGAGUUCUAGAGUCUUUCGUAUUUCUCUUAUUGCAAUGAUUAACUUCAUCAAAUAAUGAGGAAUAUAAACAUAAGGUGCAUGGCUAUCAAGGAAACAGGGAAAGCAAAGAGAACAUGUAUCCUGCUUCCCUGUUGAGUAGAUAUUUACUCAGGUGUACCUUUCUUUUUUAUAUCUUUUUUAUAUCUUAUGAAUUGAAAAUAAAUCAUGGGACCCCCAAAUCACUAAGCUAAAGGGAAAAGUCAUACUGGGAACUGCUUAGGGAAUCCUGCCUCCCAUUCUAUUCAAAGUCACCCCUCUGCUCACUGAGAUAAAUGCAUGUCUGAUUGCCUCAUUUGGAGAGGCUCAUAAGAGAAUGCAACUGUCUGUUAUCUACCUAUGACUUGGAACUUCCUCCCCACUUGGAGUUGCCCCGCUUUUCCAGAUCAGACCAAUGUUUAUCUUACAUAUAUUGAUUGCUGCCCCAUGUCUCCCUAAAAUGUGUAAAACCAAGCUGUGCCCCAGCCACCUUGGGCGCAUGUUGUCAGGAUCUGUGCCAUGUCAUGGAUGCAAGUUCUUAACUUUGGCUAAAUAAACUUUCUGAGUUGAUUGUGACCUGUCUCAGAUAUUUGGAGUUCAUGUAUCUCACUCUUUACUAUUUAAAAAAUAUUAUUCCAGUUAGAAAGAAUGAAUAAUAUCAAGUAUUUGAUAGCACAGCAGGGUGACUAGUUGUCAGAGGCGUUUGAACUAGAGCAACUCCAUCUUGAAUAGGGGCUGGGUAAAAUAAGGCUGAAACCUACUGGGCUGCAUUCCCAGGAGGUUAGUCACAGAGUGAGAUAGAAGGUCCACAGGCAGGAAAAACAAGUCAUAAAGACCUUGCCGAUAAAACAGGUUGCAGUAGUGAAGCCAACCAAAACCCACCAGAAACCAAGAUGAUGAAUACAGUGACCUCUGGUCGUCUUCACUGCUCAUUAUAUGCUAAUUAUAAUUCAUUAUCAUGUUAAAAGACACCCCCACCAGUGCCAUGACAGUGUACAGAUGCCAUGGCAACGUCUGGAAGUUACCUUAUAUGGGUCUAAAAUGGGGAGGAACUCUCAGCCCUGGGAAUUGCCUACACCUUUCCUUGGAAAACUUGUGAAUAAUCCACCCCUUGUUUAGCUGUAAUCAAGAAAUAACUAUAGGUAUCCUUAGGCCAGCAGCUCAAGCCGUUGCUCUGCCUAUGGAAUAGCCAUUUUUUUUUUCCUUUGCUUUCUUUAUAAACUUGCUUCACUUUAUGGAUUUGCUUUCAAUUCUUUCUUGUAUGAAAUCCAAAAACCUUCUCUUGGGGUCUGGAUUGGGACACCUUUCCGGAAGUACAGUCAAUAAUAAUUCAAUUGUACAUUUUAAAAAACAAAGUACAAGUGGAUUGUUUGUAACACAAAGGAAAUGCUUGAGGUAAUGGAUACCACAUUUACCCUGAUGUGAUAAUUACAUGCUGUAUGCCUGCAUCAAAAUAUUUCAUGUACUCCAUAAAUAUAUACACCUACUAUGUACCUACAAAAAUUAAAAACUAAAAAAUAAAAAUAUUCCUUUUAAUCAUAUAUUGAUAGAGUUGGUAAAGGGGAGCUAUUUCAAUUUCUUUUCCAUCUAAGUACAUUACUGUGGGCAACUCAAAUCCAAUGCCAUAAACGUAAUUGUCUAUUAAAUUCCCCAGCUUUAUUUAAAAGACAGGAACUCAGUCAUAAAACCUUCCACUAAGUACUGCUAGAAAAUGACAAUGGCUACCUGAUUAUGGACCAAGAGGGAAAACACCAGAAGUCAAAGAGGUAGUUUGGAAGGUGGUAGGUAGUGUGGUUCCAGAGAGCAUCAAGCUUCAAAACAAGCAGAAACAUUCAUUCCUAAAACACAUAUUUAUUAAUUCUCUAUCAGAUGCCAUGGAGCACAGUGGUGGAUAAGGAAGACAUGGUCUGGCCGUAACAAUUUUGAAAUCUAAUGAAGCAGAUUAAAAAGAUAAGUACUUACAAUAAAAGUGUGGAAAUUCUAACAAUAGGGGAAGUAUAGGGCAGUAUGUGAUCACUUGGCAGCCAAACUUCUUGCUUCCUAUGUAAGACUCUCACAGUCAGACUGGAGCUGCACAUCUCUGCCGCUGCACAACACAUGGAGAAUAGUCUGCUGUAUCCUAGCCUUGCCAAGCCCUUUCAGGACCCCAUGUCUUUACUGGAUUGCCUGUCCACUUCCCCACGCCCCCGACCCUCAUCCCCGCAUAUUAUUUUGUAACAUAUUUCUUCAUGGUAUCCCAGCUUUAAAGUCUUCAAUGAAACCUUUUAAACUCCUACAGUUAUUGUAUAUGUUGUGUUUCCACAUUUCUUUAUUUAGAUGCCUCUAAUAGCAAGAAAAGUUAUAUUGUAGUUUAUUAACUUAUUUACUGCAUCUCUCAAUAUCCUGAGCUCCUAAAGGAACUCCUGAAAGUUCCUCAGCACUUAGCGUGACAACUAGUACAUAGUACCUGCUGUAUUCUAUAAAUGUCCUUUAUGUGAGUAAGUCAGUGUAAAUGUUUUGGUGCAGCAUUAUACUUUGGUAAAAUAGUACUAUGUUAAUAUUACUAACAUUUACAUUUAUUCCUAAGAAAGGAAACCAUAAGAAUAAUUCAUGGUUAUAUUUUCUAGAGACUAGGCUUGUUUCGUCCAGUAUGGUACUCAAUAGCCAUAUAAAGCUAUUUACAUUUAAAUUAAUUAAGAUUAAAUACAAUUGAUAAUGUGGUCCUUCAGUUGCACUAGCCACAUUUCAGAUUCUCAGUAGUCACAUGUGCCUCAUGGCUAUCAUAUGGGAUAGUUUAGAAAAACAUCUUCGUCUUCACAGAAAGUUUUAUUGUACAGCUCUGGUCUAGACCUUUGAUGGGAUGCACAUUUGUUCAGACUCUGAGAUCAUAUAACUUAAAUAUCUCCACCUAGCAACCAUAUACUCUAACUACAUUUUCAGUUAUUUUGAAUGGGUAAUAAGCAUUUGAAUGGAGGAUAUUUCAGUGUUGGCUGAUAUCUGAUAUUAAGUAGAGCUUUAAUCAAUACAGUGCAUGCCUAGAAUAAUGGUAAGAAUCCCAAGUGGCUAUUUAAUAACAGAUGAGAGAUUCUUUUGAAGAGCAAGCUUUGUGUAGACUUGGGAAAUAGAAUUUCCAUUCUCUACAAAAUAUUGUAAUAGUUGUGUUUGUGUCUACAAACUUAAGUUGAAUUUUGAUAUGUAGAUGAUGGGGGAGGAUUGAUGGUGUCUUCAGCUGCACUCUGUACAUGAUUUGUGACACUAUCCUUAGACUCACUUUAAAAUAUGAAGGGCAAUAAAAUAUUGCCACAUUUAUAAUUUGAAUUGAUGGCUACCCUGAUAGCAUAUCAAGUGUGAUCUGGUAAAGUUCCUCCAUGAUAAAUUUUAAAAAAAUAAAAUUUGAAGCAUUUUUUCCUUGUCUGUCAAGAAAAUACAACUGUAAACUUUGAAAUACUUUUCCUGGUUCAACUAGGAAAAUAAAACUAAGUAACUACAAUUGGGUAUUGUCAAGCAAAUCAGUAUUCACUGUUUGUCACAUAGGGAAAUUACCAAGACAUAGUGUUAAUUGUGUCACUGACAUUAUCCUAUUGUAAUGAAGGAUUUAAAAAUUAUUUUAAUCCCAUAAUCAAAAAUGGUAGUGAACAUCCAAACAUAGCAAAUAUUAGUGCCUUAGGAAAACACUAUGAUUCAUGAGUAGAAGGAGAGGAAAAAGACCACUGAAAAAGAGGAAAGUAAUUAGAGCAGCAAAAAAUUAUAGACGAAGGAUAGUUAACAAUAACUCUACAGAGUUAAGGACAAGGAAAAUAAUGCAGAACCACUGGCUAUUACAGCAAAAAGGCUAUGCCUUUUACUUUAUUUAUUUAUUUAUUUAUUUUUAAAAAUAGAGAUGAGAUCUUGCUCUGUUGCCCAGGCUGGUUUCAAACUCCUGGCCUCAAGUGAUUCUCCCACCUUGGCCUCCUUAAGUUCUGAUUUUACAGGUGUGAGCCAUCGUGCCCAGCCAGGCUGUGACUUUUAACAGGGGAUUGUUUCUUUUUUUCCUGCCAUGGUUGCAAUAGAAGUCAGAUUGUAAGAGCAUAAAGAAGCCAUAUUAGUGUGGAGACAAAAGUGACUCCACCUUAAAUGCUAAUCUGCUAUAAUGAUUUUUGAGUAUCCUCAGUCCCAUGAAUGCCUCCUGAUUCCUACUUUAUUUACUGUCCCUAGAGAAAGAACAUGUCAAUCUUGAUGUUAUCCCACAGUUUACAGACUAUGAUGAAUAUAUAGCAUUGUUGCCUGUUCUGGAGGAUUGCCUUUAAUUAUCUUGCAUAGAGAGCACUUAUACCCUUUCACUGUAGUAUAUAAGCUCUGGGUUGGGAGGUAACAGGUUUAGAGAUCUACCUGUCUUGCUGCUGCCCAAGACCACACUUCCGUCUGUAAGUUACCUCCAUCACUGACAAACUGGAUUUUUCUACCUCAUUCUUUGAUUUCUCAGCUCCUCUGGCAUUUGGGGGGAACUUUGCAUAUAUGGUGGCCCUUUCACAGAACAGUCAGCAUUCUCCAGAGUAACAGAGAGAUUAUAGUAAUUGGCCCAUGUGAUUAUGGAGGCUGAGAAGUCCCAUGAUCUGCAAGCUGGAGAACCAUAGAAGUUGGUGGUGUAGUUCAGUCUGAGUUUGAAGGUCUGUGAACCAGGAGUGCUGAUGUCCGAGAGGAGGAGAAGAUGGCUGUUCAGCUCAAGCAGAAAGCUAAUUCACUGUUCUCUGCCUCUUUGUUUCAUUCAAGCCCUCAAGGGAUGGUAUAAUGCCUACCCAAAUGGGUGAGAGCGUCUUUUUUACUCAGUCUACCAAUUCAGAUACAAGUCUCUUCUGUAAACACCUUCACAGACAUACCCAGAAAUAAUGUUUUACCAGAUAUUUGGGCAUCCUUUAGCCCAGUCAAACUGACACAUAAAAUUAACUGUCAUAGAAGGACUACCUCGUUAGCAACUAAGAACAAUGGGACUUAGAACAAAGACCUCAUCAGGUAUUAAAUUGGAAGAAGAUACAUUAAUGAAAAGAAAUGUUAUGGUACUGUUGAAGAUGGAGGCAGCAAGACCCUCCGAGGCUAUAGAAAAAAUAGCGUAAUAAACCCAGAAAGGCUCUUCAAGAUAUCUAUGUUAGUGUUCUACCUAACACAGCAAUAAUUUCUUUGCAAAGCCCCUGGCAGAUUAUUUAGUUUUGCUUGGAUCCUUAAGGUGAUGAAGUGUUCCCUUUUUAGCAAGGUAAAUGAAUCUGUUUUUGGACAGAUGUAACUCUUAGAAAUUUCUUCCUUGUACUGCUAAAGCAAGGUCUGUUUCCCUGUAGCUUCCAUAUGGUUUCCUUAAGUGAUAAACAGACUGACUGUAAUAUAUCUUUCCUAUGACAGCCCUCCAAAUAUCUGAAGUAUGUCCCUCCUGUUUUCUUUUUUUAAGUUAAGCAUCCCAGAUACUUCAAUUUAUAUCUCCUCACAAGAUUGCCAGACCUCUUAAUAUUUUGGCUGCCCAAUCAGAAUAAAGUUGUUGAACUCUAGUUUGCCAGUGUCAAUUUUAAAAAGUAAUGUCCAGAAGGAAUUUUGUAUUUUGCAUGUAGUCUGACUGGAACAGAUAAGAGACAGUGAAAUUAAUUUUGUUAGAUAUUUUACACUUGUUAAUUGGACUCUUGGCCUAAACUGAACUGUAAUGAAUGUACCUGUCUGGUAUUUAUCUAAAUUGCCAUCAAACCAGGUUUAGUCUAUUCUGUAGCUGAAAAAAUUAAUUUUAUUUGAUAAAUUUUACCUUGUUCGUUUUGAUCCAUUCAUUCAUUUAUUCAUUCAUUGUUUCAACAAAUACUUUUUGAGGUCAGCAUUGUGGCAGUCUUCGUUAUGCCCUGAGAUUACCAGAAAGUACAGGUUAUUCCAAUUAGUUGAACAACUUGAGAUCAUUUUAAAAUGUAAAUCUAAUAUUCAACAUUGUUAUUUUUACAUCACCUGUCAUCUAUAAAUUUCAUAAACAUGAUUGUAUCUUUAUUCAGUUAAUAACAAGAUUAAAAAAUCAAGGACAUAUUGUGAUAAGCUGGUGAUUUUGAAUCAUCAGGAUUCUAGAUUUAAAAGUUUUUGGAGACAGAACAUUUAACGGUGUGAUUUAUUUAUUUUAUAGAAGAGAGUUAAUAUAUAACUUAGAGUUUGAUUGUCUUAAAUACCGUAUUUCUCUUUUUGUCCCAGGGGAAGAUCACAGAAUGCUGCCUUGCUUGUGGAAUUAUAGAAUUCAAAUCUAUCAGUUUUAUAGGGAGUAAUUUUUCAAGACUUACUCUUAAGGAAUUCAUACUGAUUCCUAAUAAUCAUCAUUUUCUUAAUCUAAAUCCUACAAAGCCAUUCAUUUAAUCAUUUGUUUUAGAAUGUUUCCUGCUUUCCUGUAUGUUUCUUUUUCUUCUUACUUUAAAGCAAGGUUUAAACAUCCCUUUUGAUAUUUUUAGGUUUUGUCGGGGUGUAGGGAGCAAGGUUAUUCUCACUGUGACCUUUGCCCUGCAGCAGUAAAGCAAUAACUAGCAUCAUUUCUGCUUUGUAUUGUUUUAUCAUUUCUACAUCAUGUUUGUAGGCUGACGAAUGAAGUCAAAUGCUUAUAAAUGCUUUGUAAACUAUAAAAUUCUCCAUUUAUAUAUAUUUCUGCCCCACUUAUUUCUCAUUAAUGUUACUUGUGAUUAUAUUGUCAGAAUUCCUUAGAGCCACAUUUUUGUGAAUAUUGUGCUGCAAAUAUAUUUAUUUGUUUGUAAGCACUAAGUAUUCUUUUGUUCCCAAGAAAACAAAUUCUAUAUGAGUCUUUUCUGGUUCUGUUUUUCUUUUGUUUCAAUCUCUUCACAAUAUUGUAUUUAGAGCCAGAUUUAUCAGCCCCAGGCAUCUCUUGCUUUCCUGUGUCUACUUCUUCACAGUAUAACUCUCAGGCAAAAUGACAAAAAGGCAAAUUCACAAAGGAACCAGUGAGUGUUCUUGUCAGUGCUUGGGUUCCAUUCUCAAAUAAGCUGAAAGUUCUUCUAUUUCAUCAACAGAAUGUGAUUUAAAGGGAUAUAUUGCCAGCUUGUAUCACUGCUAAACAGUGGUGUGUCACUGUAGAGCAAAUAGUCACAAGAAUACAUUCUCAGGAAAUAUACAGUUAUAUCUAUGCUUUCUGCCAAGCAAGGAGAAACGCAGACUGGCUCAAAUCUCCAGAAACGACUUGCAUCCUUCUUUAUUUCUUACACCUUUUCUUUUCUUCAUCUCCUAUUUCUUCUUUCCCCAUGUCCUCCUCCUGCUUUCACAAUUUCCUUCUCCUCCUUAUUCUCCUUCUCUUUCACCUCCCCGUCUUCUUCCUUACGCGUUGAUUAUGCCAGUAAGAUGAUAUCUUGUAAAGAAAUGGAAUACUUUUAGCAGAUGCCACACUAUAGCCACAGUAGUGACAUCUGGAAUUUGUCAAAAGCCACAGUUGGCAUCCCUAAAAUUCACCUGCCUGGAUUCUGUUCUGAGAAGAUUGUGUCUGCAAGAAAGUCUGGCCAAGUUCCUAAAAGAGGCAAAAUCAAGGAUAGAUGGCAUCUAUCCUAGUUCACGUGAAGGUUAAAAGCGUCUUCAGGUACUUAGAUACAUAGAUAUACAGGCUCUGUUAUUACAAACUUUCAAGGCAAUUCUUAUGUUCUUAUGUAUUUAUUUGCUUUUUGAAUCACAAAAUUUAUGCUUAUAUUUUAAGCAGAUGGAGUUUGUUUAUGAAGAAGUGAUUAUUGCUGAUACUCAUUAUUACACAUCAGAGUAGUUAUAUUUCUAUGUAAUUUUUUGCAUGGAGUAGGCAUUUGUGGUCUUGCUCUACAUCUGUUUGAUCAUAGCAAUUCCAGUUGAUUUCACAGGGUCAGCAAAUACACAGCACAUAAGCUAACACUCUUCCUUCUUGUACCCACAGUAGACCACUAAUCAAUUAUGGCGUUUGUCUUGCUAAGCCAGGAAACAGCUUCAGAAUCCUUCUCAAACAAUGUUUCAGACAGCUGCUAUUAAUAUGUCAGAGUUGGCACUUGAUGAGAAAUACAGUUGCCAUUCCAGAUUAAGGCCAACACCCCCCACCGCCCCAAAAAACAGCCUCAUAAAAAGACCUCUGAGCAGUGGCAUCAGAAAUCUAAGGGUCACUGAUGGAGUAUGACAGGAAUCUAAGACAGAGAGAGAUCCUAAUUUCCCAGGAGCCAGUAAUGCAGAGUGGAUAAUUCUGGUUUGGACUUAAGGUAGAUGUAGGAUGGAAGUAAAAAAGAAAACAUACAUUGGGACUGGGUCCUUAGAUCUAUAAAUUGUUUAUUUGGGUAGCCAUUACUCAGAUUUCUCUCAUUCUAUAGAGUGGUUUUUUAGAGUUUCACAGUGGUACCUAAUUGUGACAAUACGGGUCUUUCCUAUGAUUAGUGACCCAAUAGAAUAGUGAAAAGGAAAGUAUUUGUUUUUGUACAACAUAGAGGCAUGAGUGCCUUCUUUUAACCCAUUGAUUCCCACACUUUGAUCUUGAGAAACUUACUGUCUUAAACCUUCUGAAGACCUCCCAAAGGGCUUUUGUUUAUAUGGCUAUAACUUUCAAGAUUUAUCAUAUUUAAAUUAAAAUGGAAAAAUGUUAAAAUAGUUAUUGAAAAUGAAAAUAGUAAAUGCCUGUUUACUUAAAUAAUAUUUAAUCUCACAGAUCCCCUGAAAGAUUUUGGAGAAUUUCCUGAUUGGCACUUUGAAAACUGCUGCUGUAACCAAUUCUGUGAUGACUGCUGACUUGAUGUAAGGUGAAUGCAGAAAGUCUCCUGCUAGGACUCUCCCUGGCAUUGCCUCAUUCACAAAAAAUUUCAGACACUAUAUAUAUCAAUUCAGAUAAUUCAUUCAGUUAAAUGUUUAUUAAAUAUAUUUUCAAAUUGUUUAUUGAUAUAUAAUUAUUCUAUCAAGGACACAUAUAAAAUAAUUAGGUAUAGAAAAAUAUAAGAAAGAAAAGGAAAUCAAGAUUAGGAAAAAAUAACAAUGCAGAUAUUCAGACCAUAUAGUACUAUAAAGUUGGCUCAUUAUUUUGCUAAUGUGUUUACUGAGCACCUGUUCUAGACAUAGGAAAUGCAUGGAUGACUACAAUUGCCCCAGUUGUUAUCUCAUUGAGGUUACAUUAUAUUGUACUUGUAAAAUAUGCACCCCCACUCAUGGCUUUAGGCAAUACAAAUGAACAAAAACAAAAACCAGCCAAACAAAUAUAUCAGUUAAAAGAUCAUUGACCAAAAUGUUAAAUGGAGUACUCUGAGGAAGCAAAGAGUUUUGGAGAUAUGCAAAAUAAUUUUCUUAUAGUACAUUUCCUAAUUGACUUUAUAAAGCUGUUUCUUAUAGUCUUCAUUAAUGAAAGUUAAAGAGGCAUGAGAACAAAGUGCUGCUGAGAAUAUUAUAUCAGUUAACUUUUGCGAAAACAAAAGUAUAAUCCAUUUGUUGCCAAUAUUAUCAGACUGUGAUUCUAAAGUGAAACUACCUUUCUUUUUUACGUCCAUGUUUUCAUAGUAUAAGCCCCUCCUGGUCCAUUAAAAAUGUAGUACUGCCAACCUAAAGUUAGUACCAGGGCUUCACCUUAUACCAAGAGAGCUGAGAAAUGUUGGGGAGCACAGAUCAUUUGAUGCAUAGUGAAUACCUGAUAUAGCUGGUAGUUUGAAGUAGUAGCUCCUUAGAUGAUUUUUUUUUCCAGAAGGGGUAAGAAUGUUAUGUGUUAUAGAUGGAAUUCUGUCCUUCCAAAUGUAUAUGCUGAAGUCCUAACUCCCUGUACCUUAAAAUGUGACUGUAUUUGUAGAUAGCGUUUUUAAACAGUAAGUAGGUUAAAAUGAGGUCAUUAGGGUACUCUAAUCCAAUAUGCCUGUUGUCCUUAUAAAAAGGUGUGCUUAAGACACAGACACCUACAGAAGGAAGACCAUGUGAAAAUACAGGGAGAAGAAAGCUAUCUGUAAGCCAAGAAGUGAGUAAGGCCUCAGAAGAAAGCAAAGCCUGCCAACACCUGGAUCUUGGAUUCUGGCCUCCAGAAUCAUAAGAAAAUACGUUUCUGUUGUUUAAGCUACUUGGUCUGUGGUACUUGGUUACAGUAGCCCUAGCAAACUCAUAUGAUUCUGUGAUGAGGGGAAAGAACUGUUGAAAGGUGAGCAAUCAAAGAUACAAGGAAAAGGAAAAGGGAGGUGGAGGAGUGGUGGGGAUCAGAGCAAGAAAAUAUCGGGGCAGAAAAGUAUGGGGCAAAGUCAUAGAUAGGUGGUGUGUGUAUUAGUCGAUUCUUGCAUUGAUAUAAAGAACUGCUUGAGACUGAGUAAUUUAUAAAGAAAAGAGAUUUAAUUGGUCAGAGUUUUGCAGGCUGUACAGAAAGCAUGGCUUGAGAGGCCUCAGGAAACUUACAAGCAUGGCAGAGGUGAAGAGGAAGGAGGCCCAUCUCACAUGGCUAAAGCAGGGGGAAGAAAGAGGGAAAGGGGAGGUGCUAUGGACUUUUAAACAACCAGGUCUCUUGAGAACUUACUCACUACCACAAGAGUAUAAAGGGGGAAAUCUUCCUCCAUGAUCCAGUCACCUCCCACCAGGCCCCACCUCCAACACUGGGGAUUACAAUUCAACAUGAGAUUUGGGUGGGGACAAAAAUCCAAACCAUAUUAUUCCACCCCGGCCCCUCCCAAAUCCCUUGUCCUUCUCACAUUGCAAAAUACAAUCCUCCCUUCUCAACAGUCCCCUAAGUCUUAAUUCAUUUCAGCAUUAACUCAAAAGUCCACAAUCCAAAGUCUCAUCUGAGACAAGGCAUUCCCUUCUGUCUAUGAUCCUGUAAAAUUGAAAGCGAGUUAGUUACUUCCAGGACACAAUGGGAGUACAGGCAUUGGGUAUAUAUACCCACUCCAAGAGGGAGAAAUCAGCCAAAACGAAGGCACUACAGGCCCCAUGCAAGUCCAAUACCCAGAAGGGCAGUCAUUAAAUCUUAAAGCUCCGAAAUAAUCUCCUUUGGCUCCAUAUCUCACAUCCAGGCCACACUGAUACAAGGGGUGGACUCCCAAGGCCUUGGACAUCUCCACCUCUGUAGCUUUGCUGGGUACAGUCCCCUCAGCUGCUUUUACAGGAUGGUGUUGAGUGCCUGUGGCUUUUCCAGGCACAUAGUACAAGCUGUUGGUGGAUAUACCAUUCUGGGGUCUGGAGGACGGUGGCCCUCUUCUCACAGCUCCACUAGGCAGUGCCCAGUGGAGACUUUUGUGUGGGGCCUCCAACGCUACAUUUCUCCUCUGCACUGCUGUAGUAGAGAUUCUCCAUGAGGGUUCCAUCCAGGCAGCAGACUUCUGCCUGGAUAUUGAGGUGUUUUCAUAUAUUCUAUGAAAUCUGGGCAGAGGCUCCAAAGCCUUAACUCUUACCCUCUGUGCACCCACAGUCUUAGCACCACAUGGAAGCCACCAAGGCUUACAGCUUGCACCCUCUGAAGCAGCAGCCUGAUCCAUAUCUGGGGCCCUUUUAGCCAUGACUGGAGCUGGAGUGGCUGGGACACAGGGAGAAGUCUCCCAAGGUUGCUCAGGGCAGCAAGGCCAUAGCCUGGUCUACAAAACCAUUCUUUGUUCCUAGGCCUCUGGGCAUGUGAUGGGAGGGGCUGCCAUUAAGCUCUCUGAAAUGCCUUCCAGGCAUUUUCCCCAUUGUCUUGGCUACUAACAUUAGGCUCCUCUUUACUUUUGCAAAUUUCUGCAGCCAGCUUGAAUUACUCCCCUGAAAAUGGGUUUUUGUUUUCUACCACUUGGCCACAUUACAAAUUUUCAAAACGUUUAUGCUCUAUUUCCCUUUUAAAUAUAUGUUCCAAUUUCAGACCAUCUCUUUGCUCAUGAAUAUAAGCAUAUGCAGUUAGAAGCAGCCAGGAUACUUCUUGAACACUUUACUGCUUAGAAAUUUCUUCCACCAGAUACCCUAAAUCAUCUCUCUCAAGUUCAAAGUUCCACAGAUCCCUACAGCAGGGGCACAAUGCCACCAGUCUUUGCCACAGCAUAGCAAAAGUAACCUUUACUCCAGUUCUCGAUAAAUUUCUUAUCUCCAUCUGACACUACCUCAGCCUGGACUUCAUUGUUAACAACAAUUUAACAAGUCUCUAGGAAGUUCGAAACUUUCCCUCAUCUUCUUGUCUUCUUCUGAGCCCUUCAAAUUGUUCCAACAUCUGCCCAUUACCCAGUUCCAAAAUCGCUUCCACAUUUUCAGGUAUCUUUGUAGCAAUGCCCCACUUCUCUGGUACCAAUAUUCAGUAUUAGUCCAUUCUUGCUAUAAAGAACUACCUGAGACUGACUAAUUUAUAAAGAAAAGAGAUUUAAUUGGCUCAGAGUUCUGCAGGCUGUACCAGAAGCAUGGCUUGGGAGGCCUCAGGAAAUUCACAAGCAUGGCAGAAGGUGAAGAGGAAGGAGGCACGUCUCACGUGGCUGAAGCAGGGGGAAGAGAGAGGGAAGUGUGAGGUGCUACAGACUUUUAAACAACCAGAUCUUGUGAGAACUCACUCACUAUCAUGAGAAUAGCAAGGGGAAAAUCUAGCCCCAUGAUCAAAUCACCUUCCACCAGGCCCCGCCUCCAACACUGGGGAUUGCAAUUCAACAUGAGAUUUGGGUGGGGAUAUGAAUCCAAACCAUAUCAGUAUGGUGGGCCAAACAAUAGCAUCAGGCUGAGCAUGGUGGCUCAUGCCUGUAAUCACAGUACUUUCGGUGGCCAAGGUGAGUGGAUUGCUUGAACUCAGGAGUUUGAGACUAGCCUCAGCAACAUGGUGAAUCCUGUCUCUACAAAAAAUACAAAUAUUAGUGAAGUGUGAUGUUGUAUGCCUGUAGCCCCAGCUACUUGGGAGGCUGAGGUGGGAGGAUGGCUUGAGCCCAGGUGGCGGAGGUUGCAGUGAGCCAAGAUUGUCCCAUGCACUCCAGCCUGGAUGACGGAGCCAGAUCCUGUCUCAAAAAGAAAAAAAGCACCAAAAGACCUCCAUGUCAAAUUCCCAAAACUUGUGAUUUUUACCUUAUAUUAUAAAGGAUGGGAUAAAGUCAAGGCUCUGAGAGGAAAUGUUUAUCCUGGAUUAUCUGAGUCAGUCCUAAAUACAAUCACAUGUAUCCUUAUAAGGAAGGAGAGACAGUUGUGAGACAGACACAGAGAGGACAGAUACACAGAAGAGGAGAAGGUGAUAUGAUGUUGCCUCAAGCCAGAGAACACUGGGCACCCCCAGAAGCUGAAAGAGGCAAGGAAAGAAGAAAUUUCUGUUGUUUUAAGCCACCAAGUGUGUGGUCAUUUGUUACAGCAGCCACAGAGAACUAAUAUAGAUGGAUUGAGCUUGGAUAUCAGAAAAUAAAUUUCUUCCUUUCAGACAUGGGGUAGAAAAGUAAGGAUGUUCAUACACUGAUUAUCUUGGUGGAGGUGAUGGUGGUGAUAUUGUAGGUAAAGUAAUUACAGACUAUUCAUUUUGUAUGUAAUAAUGCAUCAAGAACUUUUCUGAUUUUUUAUUUGUUAGAAAACUCAGAGUUUAGACCAAAUCCUAAAUAUAAUAGAAAACAUUGAGUUUUUAAAAAAACUUUUGACCAUUUAUACCAACCAACUGUAAAGCUUCUUCUUUUAUAUCUUUCAGCAUUUAGUUAUAAAUAAUGAAUCAGGAAACAAAGGGCCAAUAAUGACAUAAUGAACUCCUUAAGGUACGCAUAAUGUUUCAUAAGUUAAGUUAGAAAUUUCCAAUUGCUUUUUCUAAAAUGGAAACAACUGUAUAACAAGAUUGCUUCUUUGAAAUACUGUAAAAGUAUAAUGUUCUAGAUUGUUAUAUACUGCAACAUAUUAAAGCCUAAUGGAUUUUCCUCAUGAAAAUCUGUAAUACUGCUAUGAUUGAAUACUUCUUCAGAACUUGGUAAGCAUGUUGCUUUUUUAAAAUCUUGUAUUUGUCAUAGUACUUAUUCUGGCAGGUGGGGGGACAUUUGGGUGAUGCUUGUUGUUAACAGAAGGACGAAUUAGUUUUGCAGCAUGAAUUGGCAUUCUAUAAAAUUCAUUCACAAAAUAAUUGCUUACUGGGGAUUUUCAUCAUUAUAACUGAGAAAGAGGAGGCACAUCUGUGCUCUUUUGCAAUAUGAGACAGUCAUUUUUCAAACAAAUCAUACAUGCAACAAUAGAUAGGAAUAUGGCGGGAAAAAGAUUCAGUGGUUCUAUCUGAGCCCGUGAUUCCAAUACCAGAGGCAGAAUUGAGAUUCAAGUCUAUAACUGUACCAGGAAAAGUCAUAAUAAGGGUAUAGGGGGUUGAUACAUUUAACUUCUGUCUAUGACAGCUUUCUUUGGAUAAUUUGGUAGAAAAAACAACAUGCAAUAAAAACAUCUUUAGAAGUCUUAGAUUAUUACUAAUUAUUUAUGGGAUUGGUUUCAGAAAUUUGAUACCUUAACAUCUUAAAGAAAAAGGAAGGCCAGGUACAUUGGCUCAGACCUGUAAUCCUAGCACUUUGAGAGAGCAAGGAGUGAAGAUUGCUUAAGGCCAGGAGUUCAAGACAAGCCUGGGCAAAAGUGUGAGACCCCCAACUCUACAAAAAACAAAACAAAACAAAACAAAAAACAAAAAAACCUAGCUGGAUAUGGAUAUGGUAGCACGUGCCUGUAGUCGUAGCUACAGGAGGCUAAGGUGGGAGGAUUGCUUGAGCCCAAGGGUUCAAGGCUACAGUGAGCCAUGAUCAGCCCAUUGCACUCCAGCCUGGGUGACAGAGUGAGAUCUUUUCUUUAAAGAGAGAGAGACAGACAGAGAGAGAAAUACUCUCAACAGGCAGCAUGAAAUCAUGUUCUAAAUCCACACUUCUUUUUUUUCCUGAAGAUAUUUGUUCAAUAACAUACGAGCCAAAUAAUGGAAACUGACAUCGUGUGUGUGUGUGUGUGUGUGUGUGUGUGUGUGUGUGUGUGUGUGUGUUGGGGAGGAGCUAGGUAUGCAGGAGAACCAACCACCAGGGGAAUCUCCUAGUACUUCCUGAAUCCCAAAGGUUCUUUGCCUCUAAUAUCUGACAUCCUUCACUUCCUUUUCCUUCUCUUUGCAACCACCAGCAACUUGACUUACGUGUUACUUGUGUUUAGGUACAAUGUAUUAGUUUUGUUUGUUUGUUUUUGUUUUGUUUUUAGAUGGAGUUCUCUGUUGUUGCCCAGGCUGGGGUGCAAUGGCGAGAUCUCAGCUCACUGCAACCUCCACCUCCCAGAUUCAAGCGAUUCUCCUGCCUUGGCCUCCUGAGUAGCUGGGAUUACAGGCAUGUGCCACCACGCCUGGCUAAUUUUGUAUUUUUAGUAGAGACAGGGUUUCUCCAUGUUGAUCAGGCUGGUCUCGAACUCCUGACCUCAGGUGAGCUGCCCGCCUUGGCCUCCCAAAGUGCUGGGAUUACAGGUAUGAGCCAUCGUGCCCAGCCAAUGUCAUUAAUUUUUAUACCGACAGAUAUAUAUAGCACAGUGCCUUGAGGUGAAAUAUUAAAUUGCCACUUUAUACAUGGAUUAUUACAAUUGCUAUUUAACUGUUUUGAGGAUUCCAGUUUACAUUUUAUAUUUAUAUUAAAACCAUAAUUAUAUUGAAUGUA